rnacentral:rRNA from 1 species
AGAGUUUGAUCCUGGCUCAGACCGAACGCUGGCGGCAUGCCUUACACGUGCAAGUCGAACGGUAACGCGGGGCAACCUGGCGACGAGUGGCGAACGGGUGAGUAAUAUAUCGGAACGUGCCCAGUAGUGGGGGAUAGCCCGGCGAAAGCCGGAUUAAUACCGCAUACGACCUAAGGGUGAAAGGGGGGGAUCGCAAGACCUCUCGCUAUUGGAGCGGCCGAUAUCAGAUUAGGUAGUUGGUGGGGUAAAAGCCCACCAAGCCGGCGAUCAGUAGCUGGUCUGAGAGGACGACCAGCCACACUGGGACUGAGACACGGCCCAGACUCCUACGGGAGGCAGCAGUGGGGAAUUUUGGACAAUGGGCGCAAGCCUGAUCCAGCCAUGCCGCGUGCGGGAAGAAGGCCUUCGGGUUGUAAACCGCUUUUGUCAGGGAAGAAAUCCCUUGGGAUAAUACCUCGGGGGGAUGACGGUACCUGAAGAAUAAGCACCGGCUAACUACGUGCCAGCAGCCGCGGUAAUACGUAGGGUGCAAGCGUUAAUCGGAAUUACUGGGCGUAAAGCGUGCGCAGGCGGUUGUGCAAGACAGAUGUGAAAUCUCCGGGCUCAACCUGGGAACUGCAUUUGUGACUGCACAGCUAGAGUACGG